UCCCUGGUGGCUCAGUGGAAAAGAAUCUGCUUGCAAUGCAGGAGACCUGGGUUCGAUCCCUGGGUUGGGAA
rnacentral:tRNA from 1 species